UACGUAGGGGGCAAGCGUUGUCCGGAUUUAUUGGGCGUAAAGAGCGUGUAGGCGGCCAGAUAGGUCAGCUGUGAAAACUCGAGGCUCAACCUCGAGACGUCGGUUGAAACCAUCUGGCUAGAGUCCGGAAGAGGAGAGUGGAAUUCCCGGUGUAGCGGUGAAAUGCGCAGAUAUCGGGAAGAACACCCGUGGCGAAGGCGGCUCUCUGGGACGGUACUGACGCUGAGGCGCGAAAGCGUGGGGAGCAAACAGG
rnacentral:rRNA from 1 species